AUCUGACCUAGGGAAGGGGUGGCUCAGCCCACCUCCCCACCACCCAGCCCCAGAGCCCGCCACCCUCGGUCCCUCAGGGUCUCCCUGCCCACGAAGGGAUGCAGUGGGAGAUGGCCCAAGUCCUUGGGCUCUCUGACACCCACACGGGGGACCCAGCAGAAGCGCCUGGCUUCGGCCUGGCCCAGCCCGUCACUUCGGCCACUGGGAGAGUGAACAAGCAGGUUCUCUGUCUCUGCCCCGUGCCUUUCAAAUAAAUAAUAAAAAAUCA